UACGUAGGGUGCGAGCGUUGUCCGGAAUUACUGGGCGUAAAGAGCUCGUAGGGGGUUUGUCGCGUUGUCCGUGAAAACUCACAACUCAAUUGUGGGCGUGCGGGCGAUACGGGCAGACUGGAGUACUGCAGGGGAGACUGGAAUUCCUGGUGUAGCGGUGAAAUGCGCAGAUAUCAGGAGGAACACCGGUGGCGAAGGCGGGUCUCUGGGCAGUAACUGACGCUGAGGAGCGAAAGCGUGGGGAGCGAACAGG
rnacentral:rRNA from 1 species